rnacentral:rRNA from 1 species
CGCCAGACUCCUACGGGAGGCAGCAGUGGGGAAUAUUGCACAAUGGGGGAAACCCUGAUGCAGCGACGCCGCGUGAGCGAUGAAGUAUUUCGGUAUGUAAGGCUCUAUCAGCAGGGAAGAAGAUGACGGUACCUGACUAAGAAGCCCCGGCUAACUACGUGCCAGCAGCCGCGGUAAUACGUAGGGGGCAAGCGUUAUCCGGAUUUACUGGGUGUAAAGGGAGCGUAGACGGCGAUGCAAGCCAGAUGUGAAAGCCCGGGGCUCAACCCCGGGACUGCAUUUGGAACUGUGUGGCUGGAGUGUCGGAGAGGCAGGCGGAAUUCCUAGUGUAGCGGUGAAAUGCGUAGAUAUUAGGAGGAACACCAGUGGCGAAGGCGGCCUGCUGGACGAUGACUGACGUUGAGGCUCGAAAGCGUGGGGAGCAAACAGGAUUAGAUACCCUUGUAU